rnacentral:tRNA from 1 species
GCCGAAGUGGUGGAAUUGGUAGACACAAGGGACUUAAAAUCCCUCGCCCUUAUAAGGCGUGACAGUUCAAGUCUGUUCUUCGGCA